GAAUGGAAUGAAGUCCGGGCCAAGGACCAACAGUAGGAUAGAAAAGGAAUUCCACUGCUACGUGAUGGAAAGAAGCAGAGGAAUGUUCAAGAGGAGCAGUCAACGGGAAACUGAUAAGGAAACCAGGGCCCGGAGGGGCUGGACGUUAGGUAACUUUCUCAAAUAAGGUGUCUCGUGAGUGGACGAGGAGGCCUGGAAUGCUCUGUACUCUCGACUAGAACAAAGACAGCACUCAUUCUGGUUCUGUUUAUGUAACACCCGAGAAAUGGUCACCAAGUGGCCAUAAUAGCAGGUCUACUCUACAAGACACUUUGUCUCGGUGUCACCCUGUCUGCACACUCCGAAGAACCAGCUUUCUCACCAGAAGUCUGAUCCAUGAGACGGACAGAGGGGCAGCAGGACGGUCCUGGGGCAGUCCGUGGCCGACACUGCUCCCGGCUCCGGGCCGAACGUACACUCCCAGCUCAGAAACGACCGUGAUUUCUGCUCCCCAGCAAAGGAAAUGCACAGGGAAAAUGUUGGCGGAACAUAAAUACCCAACACCGGGAACUAGUUGGAACAAAGUAAAUGUCCGGAAAAUAUUUUAUUGCAAAAAUUUCAUGCCGUGCGUUACAAAACCGAGCAUAGAGGAAGAG